GUUGGACCAUCAGAGCCGGCCUUUAUCUGCACCUGAAGAGAUGCUUUGAGAUCUAACCUGAACCAUCCCAAACGUGUUCCCCUGCCAUCUGCCCAGAGAGCAGGGAACACCAGUCCAGGAGUCAACCUUGGGGGGGUUCAAGAGCAUCCGUAUGCUUGCAUCCGUGGACCACUGUAUCUAGAAACUUUCCCUGCUGGCAGACACACGUCCCUGCUUGGCUCACACACCUGGCACUUCUCCACCCGUCCCCUUCAGCAAAGGUGUUUGAGUUGCUCACGGUGGUACAGCCUUGGUGACAUCGCUGCCAGCUCUGCGACAAGAAGACAGCACUCUGGUGUCCUCCGUCAUGUCAUCCCUAUGGAGCCCAGGGACAAAACUUCAUGAGUCUGGCCAGGAGAAGCAGGAGAGAGCUGAUAACCCCAUCCCUUCCACGUCUUGGGCUUACGGUAACCUCGGAUGCCACGGGGCAAAUUCCGCAGUGCUGCUUAAGGUGCCAUAAUUUAGAGCCUCUCAGCUUUGCUAAGGCUCCCUGAGUACCACGUGCCCCCUGUCUGCUGAUGCAUAAAGUAACCUGAAUCAGUGUAAUUUAUGCACCAAUGAAAAGGUGCAAGCUAAAAUACCUCCCAGCCUAAAAUAGCCUCUAAGUGAG
rnacentral:lncRNA from 1 species